GGUUGUGUAGUGUAGCGGUCAUCACUCCGGAUUCUGAUAUUCGGACAUUCCGGCAACCCCGGUUCGAAUCCGGGCACGACCU